CCAUACCAUUAAACUACCUUCCAAGAAAAGGUAUAUCAUUCUCUGUCUGCUGAACAUUUUAGUUCAUCUUGACAUCCCUUUGUGAGCUCUACAUUUUACCAAUGACUUAUAAAUAAAGUCUUCCAAUGAUAGCAAUUAUAAAACAU